rnacentral:rRNA from 1 species
GACGAACGCUGGCGGCGUGCCUAAUACAUGCAAGUAGAACGCUUAAGAGAGGAGCUUGCUCUUCUUGGAUGAGUUGCGAACGGGUGAGUAACGCGUAGGUAACCUGCCUUGUAGCGGGGGAUAACUAUUGGAAACGAUAGCUAAUACCGCAUAACAAUAGGUGACACAUGUCAUUUAUUUGAAAGGGGCAAUUGCUCCACUACAAGAUGGACCUGCGUUGUAUUAGCUAGUAGGUGAGGUAACGGCUCACCUAGGCGACGAUACAUAGCCGACCUGAGAGGGUGAUCGGCCACACUGGGACUGAGACACGGCCCAGACUCCUACGGGAGGCAGCAGUAGGGAAUCUUCGGCAAUGGGGGCAACCCUGACCGAGCAACGCCGCGUGAGUGAAGAAGGUUUUCGGAUCGUAAAGCUCUGUUGUAAGUCAAGAACGAGUGUGAGAGUGGAAAGUUCACACUGUGACGGUAGCUUACCAGAAAGGGACGGCUAACUACGUG